CCUUUUUCUCCUUUGGCUGUCCGAGUUGUAAUCUAGAGAAGUGCUUACCUGCACUGGACCAUGUACAAGUCUCCUGGAAUGGAGCGUCACAGAGGGUGAGAAUCCCGUCUUUGACAUGGACUGCCAGUGUGUUGUGGUGUGCUCUCAAAGAGUCGAGUUGUUUGGGAAUGCAGCUCUAAAUGGGUGGUAAACUCCAUCUAAAGCUAAAUAUUGGCGAGAGACCGAUAGCGAACAAGUACCGUGAGGGAAAGAUGAAAAGGACUUUGGAAAGAGAGUUAAACAGUAUGUGAAAUUGUUGAAAGGGAAACGCUUGGAGUCAGUUGUGUCAGCUUAGGGAUCAACCUAGCUCUUUUUUGCUGGGUGAAUUUCCUAGUUUGACAGGCCAACAUCAGUUUUGACUGCUGGAAAAGAGCAGAGGGAAUGUGGCACCUUUGGGUGUGUUAUAGCCUUUUGUCAUAUGUGGCAGUUGGGACUGAGGGAUGCAGUGUGCCUUGAAGGCCAGGCUUUGACCAUGUUCACACUUAGGAUGUUGGCUUUUUUUUAAUGGCUUCAAUCGACCCGUCUUGAAACACGGACCAAGGAGUCUAACAUGCCUGCGAGUGUUUGGGUGGGGAAAACCCUUGCGCACAAUGAAAGUGAAAGUUGAGAUCCUUGUCAUGGGGAGCAUCGACGCCCAGACCUGAGCUGUUAGCGAUGGAUCUGCGGUAGAGCAUGCAUGUUGGGACCCGAAAGAUGGUGAACUAUGCCUGAAUAGGGCAAAGCCAGAGGAAACUCUGGUGGAGGCUCGUAGCGAUUCUGACGUGCAA
rnacentral:rRNA from 1 species